AUGGAAGGUCUGGGUACAUUGUACCAGGGGAAUACUAAAUGUCGGGAGUGGAGUACAUCCUACCGUGGAAACACUAAAUGUCAGCAAACAAAAUUAACAAGGGUACGUGCAUCUAGGGAAAUAAGUAGUUCAGUUCAGUCUCCAGCUCACACCAAUGUAAAUCAGAAGACAGAGCCAAAGGCUCAUUGCCUGGGUGUAUGCCCAUCUAUGGGAAUAAGUAGUUCAGUUGGGUCUCCAAAUCAUAAGAGUGGGGAAGGGAUACGUUCGGUUUGCAGUGACCAAUCUGAAGUUUGUGGCUAUAGGUGUGCUUUCAACUACUCGCUAGUGGCCAUUGCAGUUCCUUCUUCAUGCUCACUCACAUUGCUAGAAUACAAGUUUUUGAGUGUACGGCCAAAGGCUCCAUUGCGUGGGAUUAUUGUGUUGAUGGGCCAGCUGUGCUUUCAACCACUCGCUAGUCACACCACACUACGGCGGCCCAGUGGAGGCCACGGCGGAGGUAAUGCGGCGCAGGCCAUGGCAGAGGUAGACGCCAGCGCUGCAGCAGCCAUGGCAGCGCUGGAUGGCAACAUUGCGACGGCCAGCACGGAGGUAGAAGGCGGCACUGCGGUAGCCAUGGUGGAGCAUUGGAGCUGGACCGAGGCGUUGCGGUCAGAGGUAGUUCAGUUCAAUCUCCACCGUAAGCAGUGGCAAAGGGACAACGCACGAGAAUCUCUGUCAGGUGGUAGGCCUAACGUCUAUGAUCAAGGAUGCCUAAGUAACUUUCUAGAAGUCUUCUGCACCAAGGUACAGGCUUCCAAGCUCAAGUUCCAGACAUACAUACAAGAGGAAGUGAGAGCUCCACCAGCCAACCGUGUUGGGGAGGUAGAAGAUGAACCAGCUGGUGCUCGCCAUGCAAAAGUGGAAGAUGACCGGAUACUGUGGUCAGGCCAUGAAGCAUUUUCUACCUCGGCUGACCACAUUCAGAGAUCAUACUAUUUGUCGGUUUGCGCUGCCGACAUGAACUUCAUUCAUGUCACGAUCGGCGCCGGAUGCAUAUCCGUGUCAGUAGACGCCAACGCUCCCGGAGACCUCAGAAUUGUCUGCUCUGAACGGAAUAGACCUGCAUGGCCCGGGGAAAAUGCGAAGUUGCAUGGUCUCAGCAUUUUCAUGCUAGACGCCGUAGGUUCCGAGCCCGACGACGGCGACCUACGAUGCCUCCGAUGCCGACGGCAGAGCUCCCCGCGCGCGCCGUGGCCGUGCCGGGGCCUCACCGCCUCAGAGCGGCAGGCAGCUUUGACCCCCAUCCGUGACCCGGGUGUGAACUGGCUGACCCGUCGUCGUCCUCCCAUCCCCUAUCACUCAUCAGUCGCCUCUCAAGUUGCAGUGAUCAUCCACCGCCCUUUUACCCGUCGCUUGUCUCGCUGCGCGGCUUCACGCGCUUGGGUCAGCCGUGACCCCUGCUGGGCCGUUGACAACCACACCACGCCGAUGGACGACGGUGGUGGUGGCGGCCUGGGCAGCUUGCCAUUGGCCGGGAAGAUGCCAUUUGACGGCGGUGACGAGCGUGAACGUGAGCGCGAUCGCCGGUCUUUGCAGGUCGGUUUCCAUGCAUGCACGGUCUGGUCUCCGUCCCCGUUUUUAUGGACAACACAUAUAUUAAGCGAACCAAACCAUGCUUGGAUAGUUAUGAGGACAGAGCGAUAUAUGCGUUCAAUGGGAGGAGAUGUUCCCGUCGACUACGAAGGCGUCUGUGGCGACUUCGCCAAUCUCAAAAUAAUGUGCCGGCUCGGUCUUUCGGAGAUGUUCAUAGAGGCAGGAUGUCCGUGCGUUGAUCAAACUAGUAGCUUGGCAUAUGCAUUGACCACGGAUAUAGGCGACGGCGCUAGCUUGGCGGCGCUGCAGGUCAGAUCGAUUGACCAUCAGUUGAAGCAUCUCAAGAUUCAUAUAUUCAACAUCUCAAAGGUGCUCGUAGAGGUACGGGCAGCUCGAAACAAUCCAUUUCUUGCGGUGAAAGGGAAGGAGAAACUUUGCAGUAGAGCUGUCAAAUUCAUUGAUCAGAACAAGUGUUACAAGAGCCCUCCGAAGAGGAAAGCACAGGAAGGGCUGAUGCAAAAAGAAAAGAAAGUGAAAUGCCGACACCACCACAAACCCAAGCACCACCAAAACAAGACAUGCUCACCAACAUUCGAGGACAAGCAUGCGACGCGACAGGAGUCUUGGCAAAAUGUCAAAAAGGAGACGUGUGUGCCAUGCAUGCAAAAGGGAGAAGACGAAGAAAAAACGGGGCAUCGCUGUAGCAGCAAGCAUCUCUGGCAUGCAUGCAUGCAUGAUGACCGCCCCUCCGCCUGCCCUGGCCGUGGCUAUUUAAGACACACUCCGGCGUCGUCCAGAUCCGCACCGUCCUCCUCCUCCUCUCCGAGCCGCGGCAAUGCCGAAGUCCUGGUUCUCUGCGCCAGCAAGCAGCACCGGUGGAAGUUCAUUGUCAGGCGGAUCAUGGCGUCGCCGCCCUCGCUCAUCUGGACCAUUCGCAUCCACGGGGGAGGGCUCCUCCGGCAAGGAGGAGAUAGUCCUCUCCUCAUGCGACUAGGAGGACCAGUCGCAGCAGCGGCCACGUCUACUCUCGGAGGCGGCUCUGAUGGACGAAGAAUUCGUCGAUCAGAUGGAGAUGAUGACGGAGCGCUUGCUCCAUUAGAUGGGUCCGGCGCCACCGUCGCCUGUGCGCAUGAAGGAGGAGCCACCCUCCCCGCCGCGGCAAGAGCCAGCGUCCCCCAGCGCCUUCACCGCGUGAAGGAGGAGCCACAUAGCCGCUACGCAUGGAUUGACGGGCCCUCAUCACCACCACGGCGCCAACGCCGCGUGAAGGAGGAACUGCCGCCCGCGAUCGCCAAGGCGUGUGGCCGUAUCCUCCACUAUCUCGGAGGCGGUGGUUACAGCCGUGCCUCCAUCUCUCGGGCCGUGGUAUACGAGGCAGAGCGCACGGCAUGCGAGUGGGCCCGCAACGACCCCGACCUCGCCGCCGCAUGGGCGCUCGACCGCUCCUUCACCACCGCAGAGACGUCUGCCAGGCACCGCCGCCGCAUUGACAGCGAGCUCGCCAAGAUCGGUGAGGAGUGGUCACUCAGCGACUGCUUCGCGAACGCCGGUCGUGGCAAGGCCGCCGCUAGGGUUCUGCAGGCCUCAUUGGCGAUGCCAGUGGCUGCCCUCCACAUGACACAGUUGGAGGUGGAGCGGCUCCUUCGGGAGCGGCAGGCAGCCGCUGGGCAAGGUUGCCGCGGCCCUUCGACGCCGUUCCACCGCUGGAGGGGACCACCGUGA
rnacentral:rRNA from 1 species